rnacentral:rRNA from 1 species
AAACUAACAAGGAUUCCCCUAGUAACGGCGAGUGAACCGGGAAGAGCUCAAAUUUGUAAUCUGGCGUCCUCAGGGCGUCCGAGUUGUAAUCUACAGAAGUGUUUUCCGUGCCGGACCGUGUCCAAGUCCCUUGGAACAGGGUAUCAAAGAGGGUGACAAUCCCGUACUUGACACGACGACCGGUGCUCUGUGAUACACUUUCUACGAGUCGAGUUGUUUGGGAAUGCAGCUCAAAAUGGGUGGUGAAUUCCAUCUAAGGCUAAAUAUUGGCGAGAGACCGAUAGCGAACAAGUACCGUGAGGGAAAGAUGAAAAGCACUUUGGAAAGAGAGUUAAACAGUACGUGAAAUUGUUGAAAGGGAAACGAUUGAAGUCAGUCGUGACCUCUGGAUUCAACCGGCUCUGCCGGUGUAUUUCCUCUGGUCGGGUCAACAUCAGUUUGGAUCGGUGGAUAAGGGUGGUGGGAAUGUGGCACCUCCGGGUGUGUUAUAGCCCGCCAUCGCAUACAUCGGCCCAGACUGAGGCAUGCAGCUCGCCUUCAUGGCCGGGGUUCGCCCACGUUCGAGCUUAGGAUGUUGACAUAAUGGCUUUAAACGAC